ACCUGCGGAGGAUCAUUAUUGAUUGUAAACUGUUGCCCUCUGUGCUGGCUCCUGCAAGUGCACGUUGGUGACUUUCAUUCCAAUACCCCUGUGAACCUUUGGCCUCUUGCUAGCUUCCGCUGGCAGAGGAUUCUACAUACAAACUCGAAUGUAAUGAAACUCUUGUUGUGCACAAGCACUACUAUAUACAACUUUCAACAACGGAUCUCUUGGCUCUCGCAUCGAUGAAGAACGCAGCGAAAUGCGAUAAGUAAUGUGAAUUGCAGAAUUCAGUGAAUCAUCGAAUCUUUGAACGCACCUUGCACCCUUUGGCAUUCUGAAGGGUAUGCUCGUUUGAGUGUCAUUGUACUCUCACACUUCCGAUCUUGCAUUGGGAGCGGUGGACUUGGGUUUGCUGCUUUACCGUAGCUUACCUCAAAUGUGUUAGUGCAGCUCUUGGUUGGACAUAAUACGGCGUGAUAAGUAUCUUCGCCGGUGCCUCGCAAGAGGGUGGCCGAUCAGGAUGGUGUGCUCCAAACCGUCUUCGGACAAUCUCUGACAACUUGACCUCAAAUCGAGUAAGACUACCCGCUGAACUUAAGCAUAUCAAUAAGCGGAGGAAAAGAAACUAACAAGGAUUCCCCUAGUAACGGCGAGUGAAGAGGGAAGAGCUCAAAUUUUGAAUCUGGCGUCUUUGGCGUC
rnacentral:rRNA from 1 species